AAGCUGCUUAGUGUCCUUAGAGUCUCCAGAGGCAUCCCUAACCCAGAAUCUUUUGACUGUCCUCUGGAGAGAAAGGCAGUAGGUCUGUACC
ensembl:miRNA MIR4306 microRNA 4306